GAUAACCAGUCGAAAGAUUGGCUAAUACCGGAUAAGCCCACGGUCUCUUCGGAGACUGAGGGAAAAGGUGGCCUCUGUAUACAAGCUAUCACAACCAGAUGAGUCCGCGGCCCAUCAGCUAGUUGGCGGGGUAAUGGCCCACCAAGGCAACGACGGGUAGCUGGUCUGAGAGGACGAUCAGCCACACUGGAACUGAGACACGGUCCAGACUCCUACGGGAGGCAGCAGUGGGGAAUUUUGCGCAAUGGGCGAAAGCCUGACGCAGCAACGCCGCGUGUGUGAUGAAGGUCUUUGGAUUGUAAAGCACUUUCGACCGGGACGAAACCGUAAAGCCUAAUACGCUUUGCCUUGACGGUACCGGGAGAAGAAGCACCGGCUAACUCUGUGCCAGCAGCCGCGGUAAUACAGAGGGUGCAAGCGUUGUUCGGAAUUAUUGGGCGUAAAGCGCGUGUAGGCGGCUUUGCAAGUCGGGUGUGAAAGCCCUCAGCUCAACUGAGGAAGUGCGCCCGAAACUGCAGAGCUUGAGUGCCGGAGAGGGUGGCGGAAUUCCCCAAGUAGAGGUGAAAUUCGUAGAUAUGGGGAGGAACACCGGUGGCGAAGGCGGCCACCUGGACGGUAACUGACGCUGAGACGCGAAGCGUGGGUAGCAAACAGGAUUAGAUACCCUGGUAGUCCCGCCCGUAACGAUGAGAACUAAGUGUCGUGGGAGUUGACCCCCG
rnacentral:rRNA from 1 species